GGUGAUUCCACCUAACCUGGGUCAGUGACCCCCGAGACCCCACGUGGACCACCUUAGGACAAGAUUUUGGUGUCUGCCUCUUCUCCUCUGGGAGGGGGGGUUCUUUUUGUGCCCGGCUGUUGGGGGAGAACGUGUGACCAGGCCACGUGAACUGAUGCAGAUUUAAAAGUCCGUCUUACCAGCAAGAAUAGACAGCUCCAUAGAAAGCGCUUCCAUUCUCCCGGCCAACCUUUGCCUCCCUGUAAUGUGUCCUCACUGGCCUGGCUUAGUCAUCUGGAGACACACACAAAAUGCAGAGAGACACAGAGCGAGCAGCUCAGCUGAGCCCCUCUUCCGAAGAUGAAGCCUUGGUUUUGAGGCAGAAGCCUUCAGAGACGCAAUCCCCAGAGGAGGACACUGUCACUCUGCAGCAGUGGAAAGCACGGCAGCUGCAGCGCCUGGCUGAGGAGUUGAAGGCAGAGUGGCAGGAGGCCCGGCUGCAGCAGGUCCGACAAGCCGAACGCCUCUACUUGGCCCACCUGUUGGAUGAGGCAGCAGAGCGGGCCGUGGGAAGCGACUCUGGCUUGGAUGAACAGAACCAGAG
rnacentral:lncRNA from 1 species